GACGAACGCUGGCGGCGUGCCUAACACAUGCAAGUCGAGCGAAGUGAGUACUACGGUACGAACUUAGCGGCGGACGGGUGAGUAACGCGUGGACAAUCUACCCUGUAGACUGGGAUAACACCUCGAAAGGGGUGCUAAUACCGGAUAAUGUCGAGAAGCGGCAUCGCUUUUCGAAGAAAGGAGAGAAUACGCUAUAGGAGGAGUCCGCGUCCCAUUAGCUAGUUGGUGAGGGUAACGGCCCACCAAGGCGACGAUGGGUAGCCGGCCUGAGAGGGUGAACGGCCACACUGGAACUUAGACACGGUCCAGACUCCUACGGGAGGCAGCAGUGGGGAAUAUUGUGCAAUGGGGAAACCCUGACACAGCAACGCCGCGUGAGCGAAGAAGGCCUUCGGGUUGUAAAGCUCAAUAGUAUGGGAAGAUAAUGACGGUACCAUACGAAAGCCCCGGCUAACUACGUGCCAGCCGCCGCGGUAACAC
rnacentral:rRNA from 1 species